GAUGAACGCUGGCGGCGUGCCUAAUACAUGCCAGUCGAGCGAACAGACGAGGAGCUUGCUCCUCUGACGUUAGCGGCGGACGGGUGAGUAACACGUGGAUAACCUACCUAUAAGACUGGGAUAACUUCGGGAAACCGGAGCUAAUACCGGAUAAUAUAUUGAACCGCAUGGUUCAAUAGUGAAAGACGGUUUUGCUGUCACUUAUAGAUGGAUCCGCGCCGCAUUAGCUAGUUGGUAAGGUAACGGCUUACCAAGGCAACGAUGCGUAGCCGACCUGAGAGGGUGAUCGGCAACACUGGAACUGAGACACGGUCCAGACUCCUACGGGAGGCAGCAGUAGGGAAUCUUCCGCAAUGGGCGAAAGCCUGACGGAGCAACGCCGCGUGAGUGAUGAAGGUCUUCGGAUCGUAAAACUCUGUUAUUAGGGAAGAACAAAUGUGUAAGUAACUAUGCACGUCUUGACGGUACCUAAUCAGAAAGCCACGGCUAACUACGUG
rnacentral:rRNA from 1 species